AGAGUUUGAUCAUGGCUCAGAAUCAACGCUGGCGGCGUGCCUAACACAUGCAAGUCGAACGCGAAAGGGGCUUCGGCCCUGAGUAGAGUGGCGAACGGGUGAGUAACACGUGGGUGAUCUACCUUUGAGUGGGGGAUAACGUUCCGAAAGGAGCGCUAAUACCGCAUGACGUUCCGGGUUUGAAGACCUGGAAACCAAAGCCGGGGACCGCAAGGCCUGGCGCUUGGAGAGGAGCCCGCGUCCGAUUAGCUAGUUGGCGGGGUAACGGCCCACCAAGGCGACGAUCGGUAGCCGGCCUGAGAGGGCGGACGGCCACACUGGAACUGAGACACGGUCCAGACUCCUACGGGAGGCAGCAGUGGGGAAUUGUUCACAAUGGGCGCAAGCCUGAUGACGCAACGCCGCGUGGGGGAUGAAGGUCUUCGGAUUGUAAACCCCUGUCGAACGAGACGAAAGACUCGCGAGCUAAUCAUCGCGGGAGUGACGGUACCGUUAAAGGAAGCCACGGCUAACUCUGUGCCAGCAGCCGCGGUAAUAC
rnacentral:rRNA from 1 species